GCCCAGGUGGCGUAAUUGGUAAACGCGCAGCCUUGAGGUGGCUGUGGGAGCAAUCCCGUGGAGGUUCAAGUCCUCUCCUGGGCA
rnacentral:tRNA from 1 species